GUGCAUCCGACAGAAGUCCUGCUUCUCUUUAAAGAGCACGGAUUUAUCCACACCAUGCAACAUGAAUGAAAUGAGAAGUUUCCAGGGCUGCCAGCUUUUCCGUUGAGGUUUUGAGGCAGUAUGUCUCUUCUACAAUA
rnacentral:snoRNA from 1 species